GACGAACCGUGCGAACGUUAUUCGGAAUCACUGGGCUUAAAGCGCGUGUAGGCGGGAGGGCACGUCCGUUACUGAAAUCCCCCGGCUCAACCGGGGAACGGGCGCGGAUACGACUCUCCUUGAGGGGCGUAGGGGGACCUGGAACUUCCGGUGGAGCGGUGAAAUGCGUUGAGAUCGGAAGGAACGCCCGUGGCGAAAGCGAGGUCCUGGACGCCUACUGACGCUGAGACGCGAAAGCCAGGGGAGCGAACGGG
rnacentral:rRNA from 1 species